AAAAUUAUUUCUGAUAGAGUAGUUCACAUGUGGAUUUUGAUUUCUAUUUGGCAUCUGAAUUGCUCCACUACAAUCUCAAUGGUGCAUGCAUCAUGGCAACAUGAGUGCAUGAGAAAGCCCAAUGUCUUGCGUCAGCUUACUUUCUUGUUGUGGGAGAGCCCAAUGACCACUACACAGUUUUGGCUACAUCAGUCUCUCUUUAUUCUUUCCCAUGUAGCACAAGAUCAUAUCAUCUCUCUCAUAUGAUUUGCCUCAUUUUCAUGUCAAAAAAAAAAGCUUUGCAUCAUUUCAGAUUUGUGAGAAGAAAAUUACAGUAUGAUAGAAACAAAGAAAGCUGAUUGCCUGUUUCUAGAUCAAAUAAGAGAUGCUUGCAGCAUGAUAGAAACGUGUUGCAUUAUUUGAAGGUUGGAUAUCUAACGGACUGCAGAUAUCAUGAUGGAUUCAUGGAGUUUCUGAUACUAUUAUAUGAAAUAUUCAAUGGAGUUAUGUUAUAUGAACUCUUUUCCAGCUCACACAACAGAUCAGAUAAUCAAAUUUAGUAAAUCCUUUCUCAUCGUCCUAUCACGUCUGCUCAGAGGAUAGAUCUGUGCAUGCCUCCUACGGCUUCAGCUUCAGCUUCAUGACAAAUUUCACAGACACCGUUGCUGUCAGCUCUUAAGAGUUCGCAACUAGCACUGGAGUGUUCUCUGAAGUUUGCAGUCCUUUGCAGCAGACAAAGCCUUAGCAGUUUUCCAGGAGCCAUCUGAACCCUUCUCUGGACAACAGGAUCGGAUAAAAGUGUAUCACAUCCAGGCGGGCUUGGGAAGUUAUAACACAUUUCUUCUAUUUGCAGUGUCUCUGAGAAGUUUGCAAGUGUGUUAUCAUCUGUCAAUUAAAUUGAAGAAGCUUGUUGAUGCUGAUGAUAUGAAUGGAUCGAAUGGAUACCAUGGAAAAUAAGGGACCGUCAAAACUGACUAUGACUGAAGGAAGGUUUUCAAAAUGGCUGCUAUGGACAAACUCUGGGUUGAUGAUGAAAGGUUGUGGAGUAGUAGUAUUUCCCAUUUGUGUUCGCAUCUUCUUUACUCCUGUCUUGGUGCAGACAGGUGUAUAAAUGGUGAUUAAUCCUGAAAGGUGUGCUCCAACAAAGAAAGAUGAUUGCCUGUUUCUAAAUGAUGUGAAAUGGAUGCUUUAGAAAGUGUUCAUAACGAUACUAAUCAAAAAAAAAAGUGCCUAGGAUGACGUUGUUCUGCAUUGCAUUGUUGAAAAUUAUAUUUUCCGGCAGAAAUUAGUUAUCAUGAUUGAUCGAUGGAAUGUCUGAUAGAUAUACCAGUGGGAUUUUAGGCCAAAGAGGAUGAUGGUAUAAGCAUGUCACGUAGUUCAUAUGCAAGUUUUCCGGUACUUGGAUGCACAAAGUUCGAGUGCCGAGUCUUGACGUGUUCAUUUUGACUGUAACAAGUCAAUAGCCAUCUCUGCAACAGGAGCUACAUUUGUAUCC